GCAACAUGCAGUGACUUAUUAUAACACAAUUGCAUAUUUUUAAAGGGGUAGAGGAGACAAUAUUUAACAGAAAAUAUCUCACGUGCCUGCAGAAUUAGCAAUAUGCAAAUCUACCCGAAUAUGCAAAUGAACCAGUCUUGCUAUUCAGGUAGUGCAUAUUGCUGUUGCUACCAACAGAGGGCACUAGACAAGCUCCAUAGCUAAAUC